rnacentral:tRNA from 1 species
GCCUUGGUGGCUUAGCUGGUGAAGCAUGCGACUUCAGCUCAGGUCAUGAUCUCUCAAUCAGUGGGUUCAAGCCCCACAUGAGGCU